CUACGGGCCGCUGCAGUGGGGAAUCUUGGACAAUGGGCGCAAGCCUGAUCCAGCCAUGCCGCGUGAGUGAAGAAGGCCUUAGGGUCGUAAAGCUCUUUCGCCAGAGAUGAUAAUGACAGUAUCUGGUAAAGAAACCCCGGCUAACUCCGUGCCAGCAGCCGCGGUAAUAGGAGGGGGUUAGCGUUGUUCGGAAUUACUGGGCGUAAAGCGCGCGUAGGCGGAUUAGUCAGUCAGAGGUGAAAUCCCAGGGCUCAACCCUGGAACUGCCUUUGAUACUGCUAGUCUCGAGUUCGAGAGAGGUGAGUGGAAUUCCGAGUGUAGAGGUGAAAUUCGUAGAUAUUCGGAGGAACACCAGUGGCGAAGGCGGCUCACUGGCUCGAUACUGACGCUGAGGUGCGAAAGUGUGGGGAGCAAACAGGAUUAGAUACCCCUGUAGUC
rnacentral:rRNA from 1 species